rnacentral:rRNA from 1 species
GAUGAACGCUAGCGGCAGGCCUAACACAUGCAAGUCGAGGGGCAGCGGGGAUUGCUUGCAAUCCGCCGGCGACCGGCGCACGGGUGCGGAACGCGUAUGGAACCUGCCCCUGUCAGGGGAAUAGCCCAGAGAAAUUUGGAUUAAUGCCCCAUGGUAUCCCACCACUGCAUGGUGGAGGGAUUAAAGAUUUAUCGGACAGGGAUGGCCAUGCGUACCAUUAGCUUGUUGGUGAGGUAACGGCUUACCAAGGCAACGAUGGUUAGGGGCCCUGAGAGGGGGAUCCCCCACACUGGUACUGAGACACGGACCAGACUCCUACGGGAGGCAGCAGUGAGGAAUAUUGGACAAUGGUCGGGAGACUGAUCCAGCCAUGCCGCGUGCAGGAUGACUGCCCUAUGGGUUGUAAACUGCUUACGGGAAAAACGCACCUACGUGUAGGUGUCUGACGGUACCGUAAGAAUAA